rnacentral:rRNA from 1 species
UGGGGAAUAUUGCACAAUGGGCGCAAGCCUGAUGCAGCCAUGCCGCGUGUAUGAAGAAGGCCUUCGGGUUGUAAAGUACUUUCAGCGAGGAGGAAGGCGAUAAGGUUAAUAACCUUGUCGAUUGACGUUACUCGCAGAAGAAGCACCGGCUAACUCCGUGCCAGCAGCCGCGGUAAUACGGAGGGUGCAAGCGUUAAUCGGAAUUACUGGGCGUAAAGCGCACGCAGGCGGUCUGUUAAGUCAGAUGUGAAAUCCCCGGGCUCAACCUGGGAACUGCAUUUGAAACUGGCAGGCUUGAGUCUUGUAGAGGGGGGUAGAAUUCCAGGUGUAGCGGUGAAAUGCGUAGAGAUCUGGAGGAAUACCGGUGACGAAGGCGGCCCCCUGGACAAAGACUGACGCUCAGGUGCGAAAGCGUGGGGCAGCAAACAGGAUUAGA